rnacentral:rRNA from 1 species
CCUACGGGUGGCAGCAGUGAGGAAUAUUGGUCAAUGGACGAGAGUCUGAACCAGCCAAGUAGCGUGAAGGAUGACUGCACUAUGGGUUGUAAACUUCUUUUAUAUGGGAAUAAAGUGUUCCACGUGUGGGAUUUUGUAUGUACCAUAUGAAUAAGGAUCGGCUAACUCCGUGCCAGCAGCCGCGGUAAUACGGAGGCUGCGAGCGUUAUCCGGAUUUAUUGGGUUUAAAGGGAGCGUAGGCGGCUUGUUAAGUCAGUGGUGAAAGGUUGUGGCGCAACCCUAAAAUUGCAGUUGAGACUGGCAGUCUUGAGUACAGUAGAGGUAGGCGGAAUUCGUGGUGUAGCGGUGAAAUGCUUAGAUAUCACGAAGAACUCCGAUUGCGAAGGCAGCUCACUGGACUGCAACUGACACUGAGGCACGAAAGUGUGGGUAUCAAACAGGAUUAGAUACCCGUGUAGUC